rnacentral:rRNA from 1 species
CACGUAGGGGGCAAGCGUUGUCCGGAUUUAUUGGGCGUAAAGAGCUCGUAGGUGGUUCGGUAAGUCAGGUGUGAAACCUCCAGGCUCAACCUGGAGACGCCACUUGAUACUGCUGUGACUGGAGUCCGGUAGGGGAGCGUGGAAUUCCUGGUGUAGCGGUGAAAUGCGCAGAUAUCAGGAGAACACCAGCGGCGAAGGCG